AUUUAAGGGCUGACUGCCCCUAGGACAGAAUCUUUUUUUAGAGUUCCCUCCUUGGUGAUGCUUUCUCCUGUGAACCUGGGCUCUUCUGGUACAGGUCCACAAAAUAUAAUUUAAAAAUCUAAUUAAAGUGACUUCUCUGCUGCUGUAAAUCUGGGCAUAUUCAUCCGACCGGAGGCACAGGAGAAAGGCCACAUAAUGGAGAACUGUAUCAGUUUUGUUUGCUCAAGAAUAUGAAAAUGCAACUGUGACUUGUCAGGACCUUUUCCUUAUGUCUGGUAGGUACCAGUGAAAGUACUUUGCAGAAUGGAAUGGUCAAAAAAGCUCAUCAAUAUGUGUUAUUAACUGACUAAUUUGUCACAGUCUUCCAACAAUAAUGACAAAGUAUUUAGAAUGGAAAAAUCUCACGCAAAGGCACUUAACAAGUCAGCUACAAAUAGUAGAAAGCAACGGAGAGCAGUGCAGUGUGCUUCUUGAUCCAUUAUGUAGCCGUUGGAAUAAGCAACCUCAUUUCCAGCUGAAGAUCCAAUGAUGCACGUGUACUGCCACAAUAUCUGCAUUUAAAUUGUAUUGCUCAGAAAAACAGUUCUCACAAACCUGUUUCAUAUAAAAUGUAUUUCAGAUAUAAUGGAAUGAUCUUGUGAACAGGGCUGAGUUAAUUCUGAGGUUUAAAAUGGUUGGCGUUAUUGCAACAAGAGUUAGAAUCGUGGCUUUCUCUAAAAUGUUUAUAUCUGCAGAGUAGUGCCUGAGAUUUCUAAAACAGGGCUCAUCUUCAUCACCAGAGGAAAAAUUUGUACAGGCACUGCGAAUGCUGUUAAUCAGAAAGAUGUCCUGUAGCAAAGAUGUCCUGCUUCUUCAAUGGCAAAGUCAGUGUGUUGACAUUUAAUUGAGCAUCAGCUCUUCAAUGAAUCGUUUCCAGUAUAUAAAGAAAGCAGGCAAGUAAUGACAAAGAUGGUCAUUUUCUGACUUAGUUUACAGUUAAUAGUCUGAUCCAGUAAACUCUACAAGGUUGCAGUAAGUCUGCAAUAAUGUGUGCAAGCUAUUGAGAGUUUGAGCCCAGGAAGUAUGAAUCUCUGUCUUCUCAAAUUUCACUUUUUUUUAGCAUUGCCUAAUAUAUGACUAACUUUUAAGAGGCAUGUGAAAGUAGCCUUGGCUGUAAAGUAUGUUGCUAGAUGACAGGGAGACACAGGAUAGAUCACUGGAAUGCAGGGCUCAUCUGCUUGAAUCACCCCAACGCCAGGCAUGGGUGCCCUUGUAUAAACAGGCAGAGUUGUUUGAUCUGGCAGACAGGUCCUCUUGGUUUUGUAGGUAAAAGGCGGGAGCCUCAGCAGGAGAUGGAAGGAAUGUGAAAACUGGAAUUCCCCUCCAGAAAAGGGAGGAAGCCACGCUCAGGAGGAUUCUUGGGCUUAUCACUGAUUAUGCUAACAACAAAACUAAACCCAGAAAAAUGGGUACUUGUGGACAGUAGGUGUGUGUUUGUUUGGUUUAGAGUUGGAGAUAUCUUAAUGUCUUAUUUAUAGCUUACCUUCAUCUUGAUGUGAGUAUUGUAUUAAAAAAAAGCAAGAUCAGAGGAGAGAUGUGGACAGCAGUGAAUUUGGAUUUCAGGAGAACUAGCAUCUGUGGCCUGUGUAUAUACUAAAUCUGACAUUCUGCCAUCACUAUGAGAGGGAUAUCAGCAAGAGAGAAAGGCUGGAGUGGGGAAAUAAAUGUGCAUAACCUCACACUGCCAGUCCUCUCAUGCAACUGGAUGCAUUAAGUUUCCUUGUGAAUGGAAUGAAAAUGGCGACUCGCAUAAUGCACUAAGGAUCUCAAGCUCACAUCAUUGGCAGAUGUUAACUGGGCAGAGGCACAAGGUAAUGGUCUUUAUCCUGUAUCAGUGAACUCAGUAGGAGUAUUUAAAUUUAGUUUGAUGAAUACUGAUUUCUAGAGGGAGGGCUGCCAGGAUCCUACUAGCCAAAAUCUGUUCUGACUUCCAUUGCUACAUAUGCAGAGGUACUGGAGAAGAACAAAGGAGUCCACUCCUGCUCCAGUUGUAGACAUUUAAGGAUUGUCACUGAACCUAUAUUACAGGAAAAAGGAGGAAAAUAGUGUUGUUUGCCACUUCAAACAUGUUCCACAAAAAUCAUUCUGACGAGGCAGGUUAUAAUUUUAUUUUCAAUUGUAGUGACAUGAAUCUUUUAAGCUUCAGUUCUUUAAGUAUUUAUAGCUUCAGAGCUUUCCAUUCUGUAUAGAUAUGCUCACCUUUGUACAAGAUGAAAAUUAAAUGAGUUGUUUAUGUCACUAAAACCUGAACAUGUUGUCCCUGACAGGUGAAAAAAUGUUCUCUCUUACAUAUUGGCAAACUGUACGCUCACUGCCUUUUUGGUGUAAAUUAUCUGUGGUUUACUUUUUUUUUUAGUGGGUCGUCUUGAUAUUCCUGGCUAACAUCUUUGCAGCUUUAUUAGUACAUACACAACUCAAUAUUGCCUUGCACAAAGUGUUUUCUAUGGCUUGUAUACAAGAUUUUGUUUUUCUUAAUAUACUACAAACAUUGGCAAUCGAUGUGAUAUGUAUCAGAUCUUUACAUUUGAACUGUAAUUAGAUUACAGAAGGAAAUAUUUGUACUGGUUGCUGUUGUCCUGUUUUGAAAUUCAAGGAAUAUUGUUUUAAACACUGCUACAUUUAUUUUAAGAACUUCUAAAGUUUGACUUAUCCAUACAAAAUCUUUUAAGAUCUGUUGAACAGUGUUAUUCUGAGAAUUAUCCGUUUAUGCCUGGGGGAGUUCUUGCCUGUGAUGGAAAUGUUUAUGAAAAGUAUCUGUGAAUGGAAAAUCACUGUUGAAUCCUAAGGCCAAGCAGUGAAGAUUGCCAUAUUAGUUCAAGUUCAUAACCAUCAGAAACAAGGAACUUAGCCUUGCAUUUUUCUUGAUAAAUAUAUAUAUACAUAUAUGAGUUACAGACCAAUGAAAUUAAAGAUAAUUGUUUC
ensembl:lncRNA